CUCACUCAAGAUAAAAGAUUCAAGAUUUCUUAAGAUUUAGAGAAAAGAACUACCACUCAAGACUUAAUGAAAAUAUGCUAGACUUGAGACACUCUUGUAAGAAAUUUUAAUGAGGAUUAAAUCAAGUUAAGAAGAUAAGUCUAACCUAAAAAUCAAAUUGGAGAAGAAAAACUGUAUAAGAAUCCAUGGCAUACUUGGCACACCAGCU
rnacentral:lncRNA from 1 species